rnacentral:lncRNA from 1 species
CACUGUUUCCAGAAGUGGGGUCACCCCGCUGGACCAGAAGGGCCCCAUCAUCUUCUGCCAUCAGCCCAGGAUGCAACGCCCUCACCAUCACUGCUGGUGGAGAGACCCUUCCUGCAGACACCAGGCAUGGAUGGUCGGGGACCAUGCACCCCGCAGGGACAGAGUCACAGACCCGGGGGAGCUUGUGGGAGGCCCAGGAGCCAGGUCUGGAUUCAAAGUCAGGAUCCAGGUCUUCACUCCCCUCCGUGGCCGAGUUCCUGGGACGUUUCAUUCUUUGGCGGUGCUGGUGGGAGGCCAGCGCCAUGCUUAGCGGCUGCCCCAAACCAAGG